GGUUUGGACUUGGGCUCGUUCGACAUUGCAGCCGACAGUGCAGGUGGCUGCUACCUGACUAAUUUACAAAUCACCUUGCAUCAUAAAUAACUACUUGUUAUUAUUUAUAAAUCAGUCAGCCAGUCACCGUUUACCCACAACGCAGCAUGGAUUUGAUGCUCUCGAUCACGGCCAGUGGUUUAAUAUAUGACAUAAUGGCUUCGCUGCUACGUGUGGGGGAUGUCAUCUAUAACAAUGUGGCUGUUCGAAAUUCUGUGUCGCUCAAAGCUUUGAGUAAUUAACCUUUUUUUUUUACACAAUUGGCUGGAAAGAGCCAAUGCUCCAGGAAGCUUUGUUUCCCCAUCACUGCUUUUCAGCAUGUUUUCAGUGAAUUAGACUACAGGAGUUUUGUAACUUUUUCCACCUUGGCUUACUGUUAGUUGGAUUCUAACUGGUCUCCGGUAGUUGGUCUCGCUGACCAUAACCGUGCUGGUUGGCUACACUGGUUAGGCUAAUAGCUAGUUGGCUAAAUAGCUGAUGUUAGCUGGCUGGCUAAGAUAACUGCAUAUAGCUAACAUUCUUUGAUUGUUGGUUAGAUGGUGUUAUGUAUUUCCAAAACAUUGGUUUACUUUAAUCACUCAAGUCAUGAGCGCAAAUUAUUGGUUUAGUAUGAAGUUCUACAUUUUAAGUUAUUUCUGUUGUAGUUUACAUCACAGGGAAUAGGCUGGUCCUCCAUAUUACUUCACACCUGACUUUAUCAUUCUUCUGAAUUCUGAUUGGUUUUAUGUAACAACUCCAAAAAUAGAACUGUGAGGUGUAACUUUGCAAUGGGACUUAAAACAUUUAUAUAUUUUAUUUGCUCUUUUAAACUUAACCAUUUUAUUUAUCUCCGUAGCCCACUCACUUUACAUUUUUAGAUAAUAAAGCAUUUGACCUUUCCACUGUGUUAACAAUGGAGGAUUGGUUGAUUUUCAGUUUAAGUAUUUAAGAUGAUUGACGAGAAAAGUAUCGUCCAACCAUCGGGUAACUUGCUUCAUGGACAUCAAAGGUGAGGGUGAAAUUCAGAUGUUCACUGCUUGUAUUGAUGAAGGAGUGGAAUCGAUGAAGUUCCUCUGCUGUCCUCUGGAAUAGAAGGAACACGUCAUCAAAGGAAGCCAUUUACAGAGCCUGAUGAGCCUUCCUCUCCUCUGAGGACCCAGUGAGGGUGGAGCUCAGUCAGAGAGCUGUUGAGGGACUGGUUAGGAAGAACACUUCUACAGCCAGAGAGGUCACACAUGGUUUGGAUGGGGCAGUCAAGAAAUGGAACAGCAAGGCCACAGAACAUGACAUAAGCAGAGCUGUGGGAGACCACCUCAAGCCCCUGGUAGAGCUGGGGGUGGUGUUUUACCAAUCCACCACGCCUUCAGCAGGCUUGAAUAGUGGAAUUGAUCUGUUUGAUCCAUUUGUUUGUUUCAGUUUUCAGUAGUUGAAUCCUGUGAUGUAUUGUUCAUUUCAACAUUUUUCAUUUUCAACAAAUGCACUGGGUUGGUUGAAAAGUGAUACUAAACUUACAUACCAUGCACUAUAUUGACAUAUUGAAAGAUAUACUAAAUUUAUACUGUUUUUCAUACUAAGAUGGACCAUGCACUAUAUUGACAAGGUAGAAGAUAGCAUGAAAAACAGUAUAAAUUCAGUCUGAGAUGGACCAAGA